rnacentral:rRNA from 1 species
UACGGGGGGGGCAAGCGUUGUUCGGAAUUACUGGGCGUAAAGGGUUCGUAGGUGGCCAAUUAAGUCAGACGUGAAAUCCCUCAGCUUAACUGGGGAACUGCGUCUGAGACUGGAUGGCUUGAGUGCAGGAGAGGAACGCGGAAUUCCAGGUGUAGCGGUGAAAUGCGUAGAUAUCUGGAGGAACACCGGUGGUGUAGACGGCUUUCUGGACCGUAACUGACGCUGAGACACGAAAGCGUGGGUAGCAAACAGG